UGGGAACGGAUAAGAUAACAAAACACCUUGCAUUCCUUUGGCCACUUCCCUUCCGAUGGCCACCGCCGCCUUCCUUGCCCCAAGCCCAACCCCUCGCUCUCGCAUCACCACCGCUCGCCACUGCCUCCUGCCCAUCUGCACUGCAGCCACCGGCGCGCCACCUCCAGAUGCCGAGACGGACGAGGAUGCCCCGCGGAUCGCCCGGAAGGACCGGCGCCGCAUUGUGCGGAUCGCGUGGGAGAAGCUCGUCCGGUGGUCUCGCUCCUGGCGCCGGCGCAACCGCAGCGACGUCCUCGAGACCACUCGGAAGGUGGUGGUUCUCGGAGGCGGCUCGUUCGGGACUGCCAUGGCGGCGCAGGUGGCAGCCAAGAAGCCCGACCUAGAGGUGGCCAUGCUGCUCCGUGACGAGCUUGUCUGCCGCUCCAUCAACCGCCACCAUGUCAAUUGCAAAUACUUAUCAGAGUACAGGUUGCCAGGAAACAUUGUUGCAACAACUAGUGCUAGUGAUGCUUUAGCAGGAGCUGAUUUCUGCUUCCAUGCUGUCCCUGUUCAGUUCAGUUCAUCCUUUCUUCGGAGUAUUUCAACACAUGUUGAUCCGAAGUUGCCAUUCAUAUCACUUAGCAAAGGGCUGGAACUUAACACCCUUCGUACAAUGUCUCAAAUCAUUCCUCGAGCAUUGGGAAAUCCUCGCCAACCAUUUGUUGUUUUGUCAGGACCUUCUUUUGCGGUAGAACUGAUGGACAGACUGCCAACAGCUAUGGUGGUCGCAUCCAAAGACAAAAAGCUGGCAAGUGCUGUUCAGCAGCUCUUGGCGUCUUCAAAUUUGAGGAUAAGCACAUCAAGUGACGUUACAGGGGUAGAAAUUGCGGGCGCACUUAAGAAUGUUCUUGCAAUAGCAGCAGGUAUAGUAGAAGGUAUGCACCUGGGAAAUAAUUGUAUGGCUGCCCUUGUUGCUCAAGGCUGUUCUGAAAUUCGGUGGUUGGCGACAAAGAUGGGAGCAAAGCCAACAACCCUUGCUGGUCUAUCUGGCUCGGGUGAUAUCAUGCUUACAUGUUUUGUCAGUCUUUCACGGAAUAGAAACGUGGGAUUACGUCUUGGUUCAGGCGAAAAACUUGAUGAAAUCUUAAAUUCGAUGAAUCAGGUUGCUGAAGGUGUGUCAACUGCUGGUGCUGUCAUCGCAUUGGCUCAGAAGUACAAUGUAAAACUACCAGUCUUGACAGCAGUAGCUCGGAUAAUUGACAAUGAGUUAACUCCAAAGAAGGCUGUUAUGGAGUUAAUGAAUCUUCCACAGGUGGAGGAAGUCUGACAGGAAUCAGUCCAACUGAAUCUAUCCGUUGAACCUGUUGCACCGCCAGAUCUGUCUUUUUAUAUUGUGGAGGAAGUCUGACAAGAAUCAGUCCAAAUGAAUCGACCCACUGAUCCUGUUGCUCCGCCAGACUCCCCCCACAUGUGUAUCUCCUACAUCGGAUCAUCUAUAUUUUCAAGGGAAGCUCUCCUUCAGUCCAUUGCUUUCACGGAUAUCAACAGAAUUUUGCACUCAUACGAAGUUGUUAUGCUCUCUGGCGCAUCCUUGUGCACAAGUACAGAGAAAGGAUAUACAUUACAGAUUUACAGGGAAGAAAUUAAAUAGGGACAUUGUAGCAUGUUUCGUUGUAGGUUGCACUGCUUUUAGAAUGAGUUGAUCAAGGGAUGCGGAUCAGUUGUUCUUUUCUUGUGCAUGGCAUGGAUUGGUUGUUCAUAUUCAUGUCAUGACCUGAGUUUUUUUUUCUUUUGAUGAAACUUUGAAAGUAGGCAAA